GCAGCCGCAGGCUGUGGUGGGUGCCGCCGGGUCAGCCAGCCCGGCCCCACCCGGCCCGUCUCGCCGGCCUGGCCCGGGCAGCCCUCCUGCAGUCGAGGAGUCGCCCUGACGGGCUGAUUGGUCCACAGCCUCAGAUGCAAACCAGCCCCACGUGCCUGGAGCCAGCCAGCCCGGGACACCCUGGUGGAGGCAGGAAGGCAGCAGCCUGGAGAGCCGCGCCGGAGGAUGCUGCGGGGAAGCCGGGCUCCCGCGGGGGCGCCUGGCUCUGGCCAGGCUUGUCUUGAAUGCUGAGGGGCCCCCAGACCCCGCCAGCCACCCUGCGUCCCUCCGUGGGGCUGGCCGGAAGCCACAGCGCACGCAGCGCCUCCCAGAGAAAACAGGAAAAUGCGAGCGGACAACGCAGCAUCGGGCCGAGCAUCUCAGAACCAGGUCAGAUCAACGUUUGCUCUGAACCCAAACCUGAGACCCCAGCCGGCUUUGUCCCCCGGCGCCACGCAUGGGGAGGGCGGGGGGUCUCCAGACUGUCCCCUUCCUUCCCCACCAUGCACACGGGCAGGCAUGAAGACCCCAGCCUGGACCCUCUGCAUGCUUGGGGGGACAGAGUCCUGGGCCCAGAAACCCCUGGAUGUGAGACGGGAGCAGCCCGGACAUCUGGGGCCUGGGGCGGGCCCCCAGACCCCGGCAGCUGAUGCAUAAGGAGGAGGAGGUGGCUCUUUUCAGGAUGGUUCCAUCCCGUUUCAGGUGUCUCCUGCUGGGUUUGGGGAGUCUGGGCCAGGGGCGGGGGCUGUCCUGCUUUCUUCCUGCUCCAGCCCCACUGGCCCAGCCACGCAGGGUCUGACCUCAGAGAGCCUCACCAGACCCAAAGCAAAGGAUGCUCUGGAUUUUUUGAGGUGGGGGGGUCAGGGAGCCCUGGGGGAGCCUGCCUGACUUCAGCCCACUCAGCCAUCAAAGGCCCAAGCAGCUCCCUCGGGGCUCCCCCGGCACCCCACUCCAAGAGCCCCUGUUCCCUGUCACCACCGAGUCCCACUGGGCUUCCAGACCAUGCAGCGGAGGCCCGCGUCGGCUGAGAAGACAGCCUCAGGAGGCAAAGUCCAACAGCAGGAGCUGCUGAGCCCAGGCCGGUCUAUCACAUGUCCAGACCCGCCUCCGCCAGGACCACGAGGCAGUGGAGACGCGGGGACAGCGGUUGGCUGAGCCUAGGCUGCGUGGUGGACGGACUCACCCCUCACUCAUUCGCUCACGCUCUCAUUCAGUCAUUUGCUCACUUGCUCACGUGAACUUGGCCUCGGCUGGUACCUCUUAGAGAUCCUGGUGUUCCAAGAGCAGACCCGCGGACCCGCCCACACUCACGGUGCCCGGACUGUGCCCAGCGUGGCUUUAGGGGCAGACGUGCACAGGAGAGGAGAGGCUCCGAGGAAUGAGGCCAUCAAAGGGACAGGCCCCAAACACGUCCUGCCUUCCGCAUGUGGACGUCGACUCUCCUGUCCUCGCUGCUGGACGUGGCCGCCCUCGAAGCCCCGGGUCUCCACCAGGCCGGUCCUCCCGACCCGUCUCCAGUCCUGCCUGUG